CCUACCUAACUGGGUUAGGGCCCUGGCUCCAUCUCCUUUAGGAAAACCUUCUGUGGGGAGUGGGGCUUUGACCCUAACCCAGCUGGGUUGU
rnacentral:pre_miRNA from 1 species